CUCCUUCCCUCCUUCCCUCCACCAGCGACCUGAGGAGCUGUCAGUCUGGAUCGCAGCGCUGUCAGUUCAGCCUGUCAGACCGGGAGACGCGUACUAAACAGCCGUGGACACUGAUAGACCUGUCAGGUGUGAUGACAGCCAUGCGUGAAGACAUGCGCAGACAGAAAUUGAGGUUGUGAAAGUGCAAACUGGAAAUCAGAGCACCAACAUGGCACCACAGAGUGAUUGGCAGUGACACAAACAUGUGAAAGUGCAGGAACUUCUCUCCAAGAACUGAAAGGUUUUCUGCAUUCAGUCAAGGCCUCUGGGGAAAAGGUAGCUCAACAAAAAAACAAAAAAAGAUGUGAAAGUCAAACAUCAACACCUCCAAAGCAAAGAUCAGCUUGGUUCAGAGAGGAGGGUGAUGGCUCUUCGGGGUCAACCACCAGCAGGAAAAACUCAGUUCCUCAACCAAAACC